rnacentral:sRNA from 1 species
GGUAGCAGCCAUUUAACUGAUGUCUUUUUGUAUGAUUGUUCAUCACUUAAUAGAGGAUGAAUUCAGUUAAUGGAGAAUCAUCCUCAUUUGCACCAACUGAUAAUGCGUCUGUCACGGGUACUCCAGUAGUGUCUGAAGAAAAUGCCUUGUCUCCAAAUUGCACUAGUACUACUGUUGAAGAUCCUCCAGUUCAAGAAAUACUGACUUCCUCAGAAAACAAUGAAUGUAUUCCUUCUACCAGUGCAGAAUUGGAAUCUGAAGCUAGAAGUAUAUUAGAGCCUGACACCUCUAAUUCUAGAAGUAGUUCUGCUUUUGAAGCAGCCAAAUCAAGACAGCCAGAUGGGUGUAUGGAUCCUGUACGGCAGCAGUCUGGGAAUGCCAACACAGAAACCUUGCCAUCAGGGUGGGAACAAAGAAAAGAUCCUCAUGGUAGAACCUAUUAUGUGGAUCAUAAUACUCGAACCACCACAUGGGAGAGACCACAGCCUUUACCUCCAGGUUGGGAAAGAAGAGUUGAUGAUCGUAGAAGAGUUUAUUAUGUGGAUCAUAACACCAGAACAACAACGUGGCAGCGGCCUACCAUGGAAUCUGUCCGAAAUUUUGAACAGUGGCAAUCUCAGCGGAACCAAUUGCAGGGAGCUAUGCAACAGUUUAACCAACGAUACCUCUAUUCGGCUUCAA